rnacentral:rRNA from 1 species
UAUAGAUGGAUCCGCGCUGCAUUAGCUAGUUGGUAAGGUAACGGCUUACCAAGGCAACGAUGCAUAGCCGACCUGAGAGGGUGAUCGGCCACACUGGAACUGAGACACGGUCCAGACUCCUACGGGAGGCAGCAGUAGGGAAUCUUCCGCAAUGGGCGAAAGCCUGACGGAGCAACGCCGCGUGAGUGAUGAAGGUCUUCGGAUCGUAAAACUCUGUUAUUAGGGAAGAACAUAUGUGUAAGUAACUGUGCACAUCUUGACGGUACCUAAUCAGAAAGCCACGGCUAACUACGUGCCAGCAGCCGCGGUAAUACGUAGGUGGCAAGCGUUAUCCGGAAUUAUUGGGCGUAAAGCGCGCGUAGGCGGUUUUUUAAGUCUGAUGUGAAAGCCCACGGCUCAACCGUGGAGGGUCAUUGGAAACUGGAAAACUUGAGUGCAGAAGAGGAAAGUGGAAUUCCAUGUGUAGCGGUGAAAUGCGCAGAGAUAUGGAGGAACACCAGUGGCGAAGGCGACUUUCUGGUCUGUAACUGACGCUGAUGUGCGAAAGCGUGGGGAUCAAACAGGAU